UACGAAGGGGGCUAGCGUUGUUCGGAAUCACUGGGCGUAAAGGGCGCGUAGGCGGCUGUUCAAGUCGGGGGUGAAAUCCUGUGGCUCAACCACAGAAUGGCCUUCGAUACUGGACGGCUAGAGACCGGAAGAGGUGAGUGGAACUGCGAGUGUAGAGGUGAAAUUCGUAGAUAUUCGGAAGAACACCAGUGGCGAAGGCGGCUCACUGGUCCGGUACUGACGCUGAUGUGCGAAAGCGUGGGGAGCAAACAGG
rnacentral:rRNA from 1 species